AAAGUCGUAACAAGGUUUCCGUAGGUGAACCUGCGGAAGGAUCAUUAAUGAAUAACUAUGGCAUUGGUUGUAGCUGGCUCCUAGGAGCAUUGUGCACACCUGUCAUUCUUAUACCUCCACCUGUGCACUUAAUGUAGGCCUGGAGUACUCUCGCUCUAGGGCGGAUGCAAGGAUUGCCAUAUCAAAAGAUUUGGCUCUCUUUGAAUUCCCAGGUCUAUGUAUUUUUUCUAUACACCCCAAUUGUAUAAUAAAGAAUGUAGUCAAUGGGCGUUCAUGCCUAUAAAACAAGUACAACUUUCAGCAACGGAUCUCUUGGCUCUC
rnacentral:misc_RNA from 1 species